rnacentral:misc_RNA from 1 species
AAGGAUCAUUACCAGGAAUCGGGGCCUCGCGCCCCGUCUUCCCACCCCAUGUUUAUCUCACCGCGUUGCCUCGGCGGGCCUGCGGCUCGUUCCGCUGUCGGCUCCGGCUGGCUAGCGCCCGCCAGAGGACCCAACAAACUCUAUUUUAACGUGUCGUCUGAACGCAAGAUAAAUAAAUCAAAACUUUCAACAACGGAUCUCUUGGUUCUG